rnacentral:pre_miRNA from 1 species
AAUGUGAUUGCUGGAUUGUAUGGAAAGAAUAUGUGUAGUUUUUAAAGAAAUUGCUAAACUAUUUUCCAAAGUGGCUGUACCAUUUUGCAUUCCCACCAGCAGU